AGAAUCAACGCUGGCGGCGUGCCUAACACAUGCAAGUCGCACGAGAAAGGGACUUCGGUCCUGAGUAAAGUGGCGCACGGGUGAGUAACACGUGAAUCAUCUACCUCCGAGUGGGGAAUAACCUAGAGAAAUCUGGGCUAAUACCGCAUAACACUUACGAGUCAAAGCAGCAAUGCGCUUGGAGAGGAGUUCGCGGCAGAUUAGUUAGUUGGCGGGGUAAUGGCCCACCAAGACGAUGAUCUGUAUCCGG
rnacentral:rRNA from 1 species